rnacentral:rRNA from 1 species
CCUACGGGAGGCAGCAGUGGGGAAUAUUGCACAAUGGGGGAAACCCUGAUGCAGCGACGCCGCGUGAGUGAAGAAGUAUUUCGGUAUGUAAAGCUCUAUCAGCCGGGAAGAAAAUGACGGUACGUGAGUAAGAAGCCCCGGCUCACUACGUGCCAGCAGCCGCGGUAAUACGUAGGGGGCAAGCGUUAUCCGGAUUUACUGGGUGUAAAGGGGGCGUAGACGGCAGCACAAGUCUGGAGUGAAAAGCCGGGGCCUAACCCCGGGACUGCCUUGGAAACUGUGCCGCUAGAGUGCAGGAGAGGCAAGUGGAAUUCGUAGUGUAGCGGUGAAAUGCGUAGAUAUCAGGAGGAACACCAGUGGCGAAGGCGGCGUACUGGACUGUAACUGACGUUGAGGCUCGAAAGCGUGGGGAGCAAACAGGAUUAGAUACCCUAGUAGUC